GGCUCAUAUCAUCCCACGUACCCCUCAACCUCCGCAAGCAGAAACCACCGCACCUGAGCCGAAAAUGACGCCGCUCGCCCAGAUCGCUCCGCCUCCCCUCGCCCAACCUCCUCGCUCCAUCCCUCUCACAGUCUCACGCCAAGUGCAGCGCAGCCGCCGGCGCCGUCGAUUCGAUUCCGACGCCCCGCCUUCGCCGCCGGCACCCCUCACCGCCGACCGCCUCUAGAUCCUCCAGAUCGACGCCGCCCCUCCCCACCGACCUCCUCCAGAUCGACGCCGCCCCUCCCGGACACCGCCGCCGUAGCGUCGCCACGCCCGCUCCACUCCCGGACACCGCCGCCGCCGCCUCGCCACGCCGGCUCCACUCCCGGACGCUGCCGCCGUCGCCUCGCCUCGCCCGAUCCCGGACGCCGCCGCGACUCACGCCGACGCCCCGGCGCCACGCCAACCGCUACGCUGCCUCGCUCCUCACGCCAAUCGCCGAUCCACAUCCGCGGGCGCUGCCGACCGCCGAUCCACAUCCACAUCGAGGACAGCCAAGGAAGCAAGCGACAACCUCCUCUGCGGGCGCUGCCGACAGCCUCGGCCGCCCGCAUCACCGAUCUACUCCACGCCGACUAUCUCCUCCGCGGCCGCUGCCGACCGCCGAUCCACAGCGAGGAUAGCCGAGGACAGUUGAACCACAUCCACACUGCAGUCCCUGGAGGCGAGCCACAAGGAUUUGUGACUUCAGGUUGGGAAUUCAAUUCAAAUGUUCAUAAAUUAGUUUUGAAUUGAGACUUAUCUGAAUUGCUGUAGGAUUGAUCAUUUUUGCUAGGCCUUCUGUUUUUCACCUGGCAUAAAUAUUUGUGAUUACAUCUAAUGAGUGAUACAUGAUUCAGUUUCUUGCACCCUUGAUUUUUAUUCUCGUCAUCUCGAAUUCUCCAUCGAUUAUUCGAUCUGCAUGCAGUUAUGUAUGUGCAUCAAUAUGUACAUCAAUAUAUGCCAGGACCGAUGCGUAUAUGCGACUGACUAGCUAUCCAUGGCCUGCAGAGGUGUGUUUGCCUCGCACACAAGCAUCCCAAUGCAAAUUAAGCCAGCUUAUCAUUUUGAUGGCUUUUAAUUUGACACCUUCUGAAAAUUAAUUCUCAUUAGUUAGCUAUAGGAUAGAUAUAGUAGGUCGACACAAAACGAUGGAGUAUAGUAUAACAGCAGAAUGAAUUCUAUGAUGUUACAAAACGGUGAAAGACUCAAAAGUAUUGGGGCUGUUUCCUGAAGGAAACCAUCCUAUCUCAGUCCAAGAAAUAGUUUCGAUAUCUUACAAAUCGAUCUAGUUUUUAGACAUUUUCUUAUUUUCUUUUCAUGCCAUAUGAAUGAAAGUAAUAUAUUUUUCUGUCCUGGGGGAAUUCGAUCUCUUUAUCAUUUGGCACUUAUCUUCUUUCACAUAUAUAAGUGAUUUACUCCAUCCAAAUAGCUGUUUAGUUUGGAUGAAAAUACAUGAAUUAAUGUUUUCCAUGGUUGAUUGAUGUUAAAUGUUCACUCUUCUAAGGGUGAUUUUUCUACAUGUGUACCGGAUGAUCGCUUAUUAGAUAUGUCUGUUGUUCACGGUUAUUUAAUUCAAGGUUACUUACAUGUUCUCCUGUGGUCUUUAGUACUUUUCAUGCAUAAAUAUUCUGCUGCAGCAUAACUUUUUUUCUUAAUAGACAUGUAUUAUUUUCAUGAAGGUAAACAUUGGGAUGCAACAUUAUCUUUUUCAACGCUGAAAGUUUCUGAACAGUGUAUAUAAGAUAGGAAGUCUGAAAACUUACUAGCUUACUAUCACGACACGGGAAUAAUAGGGAGGUCUAUGGCCCUCAAUUGCCUCCGUUCUAUAUUCAUUCCUGUUUCUUAGAGAUCAUUGUUCUUUGACUGAAAACUGAAAAUCAUUUUAUCGGGUUAAAAGAUUUUCCACUUAUGUGUCUAUGGCAUAUGGGAUCAGGACCCACAUGUUGGGAUCACAAUGCUAUCUUGAGGAGUGGCCAAAUCCUGAAUUUCUUGGCCACUUAUUGGUUUUAGCUUAGGUUGCCAUUAGUAUUCUUCUUGGAUCUUUUAUAUUCAUAACAAAUAUUUUUUUUCCGUGGAAAUUAACCAGAGGAGAUUGGUAUGAUCGGUCCAUGCAUGUUAUAUUCAAGGAGGACUUUAGGAUUGGUGGACGUGGUGAAGCAAGCUAAGUUUUGAUAAAUUUUGGAUAAAUAUGAAUGCUUAGUUACAUUCUGAUUGAUCAAGAGAAGCAUACACUGCAUUUGAAAGUAUGAACACACAUAUUUUGCUUUAUUGAGUUUGCAAGCCAACAUGGAAAUCAUAGUUUCAUAGUAACUGAUGAGUGUAGUACUGAAUUAUAGGAAAAUGCAUUCUCUUUACAUAAGCUUUUCCUGGUAUGAGUUAAUGCAUCAGUUAAUGAUAAUGCAUACUGGAUCACACUUCCUUUUUAUCUCUAUAGUGUCAGAGUCACCUCUUACAAAUGUUCUUAUAUACUGCAGACUUACAGUUCAUAAUAGUAUUAUAUAUAUAUCCUCUGUAUGGUGCAUAAAUUCAGAUUUUUAUUAGCCUUCAGAUUUUUUUUUUACUGUCUCAGCUUCUCAUGCAGAUUAACUGUUGUAUUCCAUGUCCAGAAAAAUUUACAAGGUCUGCUCCCCUUGUCCAGCAACUAUUUGCAUAAAUUUCCCUUGAAAAAAAAAAGAUAUUUCCUGCGUGUUGAAAUAGAACUAGGCAUAAUUUAUAGCAAAUUGAAAUAGAUAUUUCCUGCGUGUUGAACUUUUUAGUUGAUGAUUGAAUAGUUUCUGGAAAAGGUAAAAACAAGGAGAAAAGGAAAUCCCAAUGUUGCUACUGAGGCAAUAUAAAAAAAAAUGCUAUACUGCAAUCUGCUUUGUGUAAAAGCUUUUUCAAUCUUCAAUCUGACUAUUAUUGUGCAUUAUUAUCAACCAAAUGAAGAGAGCGUGCAACCUGGAGUUCCAUGAGGUAGAUAUUUUAUGUGGCGAUCAUGUGAACUAAGACCUUAUUGUUCAUGGGCUUUCAUUGGAAAAUUUGAGUCAUUAAUCUGAUAAGAUUUCGUCCUAGCCUAUUCUUCUCCAAGCUUAGUAAAUUAGGUUUCACUUAUUUAUAAUUUAUCAUUUAAUUUUUAGCCUUUGAUUAAAUGUCUUGUACUGAAUCACGUAAUUUUAAUGUCUAAGUUUUACAAGAAUCUCUCCAACACCUUAAAUGAUGUUGUUUGGAAAUCAGAUGAUCUUCAAAGUCAACAUUCCUAGAGUAACUUGGGAGAGUAGGAUUGUGAACUAUUAGCAUACCAUUCUUUUGAAUCAAUAUUCCUACUUCUAGAGGCGUGAAAAGGAGAAAGCAUGUCUAUUGCACUUGUACAUGUGAAUGACCCUGUAAAUUAUGUUUGGUCUCCACUCCUGUUGUAUGUGUUGCUACUAUCUUUUAUAGAACCUUUCUGAAAGCAAGUGAAGCUGAUCAUGCAAUGAGUUUUAUGUGUCAGUAAGUUUUGUGUGUAAACAGUAUGUUGUGAGGAACAAGUACACUUAUUCUUUUAGAUAAUGGAUUUAUAUUAAACCCAGCCUCUACACCUGUGAAAGUAUACUUAUUGUUCAUCAUCAUUUUCAUUUACUGUUGUUUUCAUUCUCAGCAGGAAUUUCAUUUAUGUUUAUCACCGUUGCCUAAUGAAACAUUGCCUUUUCUGUUUAUCACUGUUAUCUUAUGAAACAUCACCGUAACGUUAGUACGGGCAUAUUAUUAGUUUUUAAUUCAUAAUUCAGCAAGUGGGUCUUACAUUCUUCAUACUUCAUUCAUCAAAUCCUACACUCCGUUUCUUCAUACUUCAUUCAUCAAAUCCUACACUCCGUAUUCAUCUAUCCCGAUCGAACGAUCCUGAUCGACUCACCUCCCCUAUGGCCCUACCCAACGCGCCUGACGCAUCUCCUUGCCCUGCACACGCAAUUGACGUAUUGUGCCCCCCUCAGGAGCGCACUGCCUGACCAACCCUAAUUGCCGUCGAUCCGCCACCGCCGGCCUUUGUCGCGCUGUUGCCGGUCUCCGUCGUGCCGCCGUCGUUUGGUAUCUGUCGCGCCGCCGUCGUUUGGUAUCCGUCGCGCCGCCAUCGUCUGCUAUCCAUCGCGCCGCCACCGGAAUCCCCUGCCGACCGGUCUCCCGCACCGUGACGCCUUCCUCGCCUCAGUCAGGGCCACGGACGAGCUCGACAGGCGGCCACAGAACUAGGGCACCGGGCGGCCUUCCUCCAGGUUAACCCCGACGGGACAUCAAUGGAUACUAUGGUUAUGGCAAUUACGAGCUACAUCAGCAGGAGCCUCCAUAGCAGCAGGAACCCCCAUAGCAGUCCUAAGAAACCAAUUGCUUUAAGUAUAUUGGACCUGGUUAUGGUUGGAUGAGACGCCGUGGUCGACAUACUCUCCGCCUACCGCGAUGGACAGCGCCGUUGGAACCUCCACACAAUAUUUCAGGCAAGGGAAGAAGGAGGCCUCUAUAAUGUUAAUUUCUGUCGGUUGGGCGCAGCGUGGCACUCAUCUUACCGCAGGGACAAACCAAGGCAGAUUUCAGGUUAGGCAUCCCGCUCAUCUGAAAUGAUCAGAUAACAUGUUCAUUAUUAACCAAAAUUUGGGGGAGGGAUUGGCCAUGGAGAUGGUGGCGAUGAUGGCCAGGCCAGAGUGCAUGCUGCCCAGGCAGCAGGACUGCUUCAAGAAUGCGGGCGUACUUAAGGCAUUAUCAGUUGAAUGAUCGAUGAACUUUGCCCUCUAUUUCUAGGUUGAUUGCUUUUACAAUUAAAAAAAUCAAUCGGUUAUUCUUGAGAUUCAUGGAAGUGCAGCUGGGAGGCCUAUAACCCUUAUGUGGCCUGUAACACCCUUAUAUAGUGCAUGUCAACUUAUUUCUUAAGCAAGGUAUAUUUUGGAUCCGAGAUGAACAUAUUCUUAACCAUAUUCGCUCCAAUCAAAGCAGGUGGAAUGUGGGAUGUUGUGUGAGAAACAAAAUUUGAAUGUUUACAGAGUUUAGCUUUCAUUUUGAGUUUGGCCAUACCAGGUCAAUUUUUGGCAUUUCAAUGUCUAUGUACUUGGUCUUAUAAUGCUUUUGAAAUGAAUGUCUGGAUCUAAUCA